rnacentral:rRNA from 1 species
GAGUGAAAUAGAACCUGAAACCGUGUGCUUACAAGUAGUCAGAGCCCGUUAAUGGGUGAUGGCGUGCCUUUUGUAGAAUGAACCGGCGAGUUACGAUUUGAUGCAAGGUUAAGCAGUAAAUGUGGAGCCGUAGCGAAAGCGAGUCUGAAUAGGGCGUUUAGUAUUUGGUCGUAGACCCGAAACCAGGUGAUCUACCCUUGGUCAGGUUGAAGUUCAGGUAACACUGAAUGGAGGACCGAACCGACUUACGUUGAAAAGUGAGCGGAUGAACUGAGGGUAGCGGAGAAAUUCCAAUCGAACCUGGAGAUAGCUGGUUCUCUCCGAAAUAGCUUUAGGGCUAGCCUCAAGUGAUGAUUAUUGGAGGUAGAGCACUGUUUGGACGAGGGGCCCCUCUCGGGUUACCGAAUUCAGACAAACUCCGAAUGCCAAUUAAUUUAACUUGGGAGUCAGAACAUGGGUGAUAAGGUCCGUGUUCGAAAGGGAAACAGCCCAGACCACCAGCUAAGGUCCCAAAAUAUAUGUUAAGUGGAAAAGGAUGUGGCGUUGCCCAGACAACUAGGAUGUUGGCUUAGAAGCAGCCAUCAUUUAAAGAGUGCGUAAUAGCUCACUAGUCGAGUGACACUGCGCCGAAAAUGUACCGGGGCUAAACAUAUUACCGAAGCUGUGGAUUGUCCUUUGGACAAUGGUAGGAGAGCGUUCUAAGGGCGUUGAAGCAUGAUCGUAAGGACAUGUGGAGCGCUUAGAAGUGAGAAUGCCGGUGUGAGUAGCGAAAGACGGGUGAGAAUCCCGUCCACCGAUUGACUAAGGUUUCCAGAGGAAGGCUCGUCCGCUCUGGGUUAGUCGGGUCCUAAGCUGAGGCCGACAGGCGUAGGCGAUGGAUAACAGGUUGAUAUUCCUGUACCACCUAUA